rnacentral:rRNA from 1 species
CAGUCGCCACGGUAAUACGAAGGGGGCUAGCGUUGUUUGGAAUUACUGGGCGUAAAGGGCGCGUAGGCGGCCAUUCAAGUUAGAUGUGAAAGCCCUGGGCUCAACCUAGGAAUUGCAUUUGAUACUGUUUGGCUUGAGUUCGGGAGAGGUGAGUGGAAUUCCCAGUGUAGAGGUGAAAUUCGUAGAUAUUGGGAAGAACACCAGUGGCGAAGGCGGCUCACUGGACAACUGUUGACGCUGAGGUGCGAAAGCGUGGGGAGCAAACAGGAUUAGAUACCCCCGUAGUCCCUGUCUCUUAUAU